rnacentral:lncRNA from 1 species
GGAAGAACACCCCAGAUUACACAAGUCCAAUGUCUCUUCCAAAGCCGCGAGUCAGAUGCCAUCACUCGCUCCCUGAGACGGGGUGGAGAGAGGGUCCAGAAGUGUUAUCUACGUGGAGUUGUCUCCACAGGGAUGGAAAUACCAGAAGUGGGAAGACGAGUCUCCCGGUAGCUAUCUCACAGGUUUGGUGCGAAAGUGAAAUAAAUUUGCCAUCGCAGGCUCAUAUCCUGGCUCAUCUGUGUCCCUGUGAUCAGUGUCCCCAUGCUUCUUGCAAAUCGGUUGUCUGUGCUCGCUGUUUAGAUCAUCUACUUUUGCCAUCAGCGGAAGGCUCCCCAAACACAUGCCUGAGCCCUUCAGAAUUAUGUUCAGAGGGGGCACGGAACAAAGAAAAGGUUGACCCCAUCCUCACUUGCUGGAGGCAGGAGAUGUGAUUCAAUGUGUCAGAGAACUUCCUAAACGACAAGACAGCAAUUUUUUAAAGUUAACUUAAAAAAGAAAAGAAAAGAAAGAAAGCUCAUGUCCUUGGCUGAUGAGCGUGGAGAAGACCUUGGGAUGGUUUUCAGAGAGACGGAAGCCUUAGCACAGGCCUGCUGCUGCACGCAAAUAUUUGCUUAAAUUUGAUUCAACAAAUAUUUAUUGAGCAUCUGUCAUAUGCCAAGUGCCAGGGAUACUGGAAUGAAAAAAAGAUGAGCAAAAUUUCUACCCUCCUUGAGAUGAUUCCUGGUGGGGAACCCAAUGAACAAACCCAUAGAUACGUAAUCAGUUCGGGCCUAAGGAGGAAUCACAUUUCUCCGUGCUUCUGCUUCCGAGGACAAUAUUAGGUAAACUGAGAGGCAGAAAGAGAAUUCCAGAGUCGGGCAGAGUUACGGAUAGAAGAGCUUCAAGUUUUCAGGCUGGAAGCGACCUUCACAGACUAUCUUAUCCCUAAUCGGACUGCCAGGUGGGGCCACGUAGAAUGCAGCCGCGUGUUUUCCUUAGGUCUGCCGUGUUCUCCUCCGAAGUGUUCUCGUUGAGAAGGUAAGAAAAAUGAAGAGGCUACAGUGGAAAACAACAUAGUGGCUCCUCAAAAAAUUAAACAGAAUUUUACCGUAGGAUGCAGUGAUUCCACUUCCAGUUUAUACUCCAGAAGAAUUGAAAGCGGGGACUUGAACAAAUAUUUGUACACUCAUGUUCAUAAAACUGUUCUGCACAAGAACCGAAAAGUGGAAGCAACCCUUGUGUUGAUGGAUGAAGAGGGAAGGGAGACGUGGGAUGCACAUGCAGUGGAAUCCUAUUCAGUCUUGAAAAGAAAGGGACCUCUGACACCUGCGACCUUAUGAAUGAAUCUUUGAAGACAUCACGUUGACUGAAAUAAGCCACCGAUUUUCCUGUUGCUGUGGAAUGUGAGGAGAUUAUUCCCGUCUCUCUAGGGCUCACAGACCGUGUGUCUCUACCCUUCGUGGUCCCUUUUAUGAGCUUUUAAAAUUGGGAAUACUCGGUUGAUGGUACCUUUUGACUCCAAUUUUCUAAUGCUGAGUGCCCUGAAAUACAAGUCAAUUAUGACAC